AGAGCCCAGAAAGCGGGCUAGCCUGCACGCACGCCAAGAUGGAGCUCCAGGCUAGCCCACAGAACAGCCCAGCCGCAGCCGUCCUACCAGACCAGCACCUUGUAACCACAGUCUAACCCAGCGGGCACCAGGCGGUGAGACCUCCUGCCGCUGCCAGCCCAGGAUAGCCCCCUUGCCUCUUGCCCAAGGCUCAGGCUACCCCUUGAGGCGUCUGGAGGACACUAGGCUUGACCUGGGGAGUGGCAUGAUGGGGGGCAGGGUCCGAGGCAACGGAGAAGGCAGAAGUGACUUAGAUUGUGAGUGCCACGGGGCUGAGGCCUGCGCCGACCUGGUCUGCUGGUGCUACCAGGCUUGAACAGUCUUCAAAUCCACUGCUAUUAGGCAAAUUACCUGGCUCCCGCUGAACUCCAGCACCUAGAACUAUGUCACACUCGUAGUAGGCCGCUGCAUUGGUUGAACAAAUGAUUUUGAAAGAAUGAAUGUCUUCCUCUGUGCCUGCAUUUCCUCAGAAGGCUGUAACAAAGAUUAAAUAGGAAAAUUCGUGGAAAGUUCAAUUACUACACCACAGAGGUUAAUUAAGUCGCACUGCUAGAUAAAACGGGAGACGAGACUUUGAACCCAGGCUGUGUGGCUCAAACCCCCUGACACGAAGUCUCUACUCAACCUCCUCACUACC
rnacentral:lncRNA from 10 species